UACGUAGGGCGCAAGCGUUGUCCGGAAUUAUUGGGCGUAAAGAGCUCGUAGGCGGCCUGUUACGUCUGCUGUGAAAUCCCGGGGCUUAACCCCGGGCGUGCAGUGGAUACGGGCAGGCUGGAGGCAGGCAGGGGAGAACGGAAUUCCCGGUGUAGCGGUGAAAUGCGCAGAUAUCGGGAAGAACACCCGUGGCGAAGGCGGCUCUCUGGGACGGUACUGACGCUGAGACGCGAAAGCGUGGGGAGCGAACAGG
rnacentral:rRNA from 1 species